GCUGGAGAAUUGGAGAGUGAGCGAUGAGAGAGAGAAGACGAAUGAGCUGUUUGUAGGGAGAGAAAUUAAAAAUAGAGCCUGGAGAGGCUGCUUUAAUGACGGGGACUUAGGGGAGAGAAAGAAGCAAAGAGGAUCUGAAGGCGAAUGAGAGCUGUAAUUUAAACCUGAAGUUAUCGAGAGCUGAGAUAAACCACACAUCACGUGCAAUUUAAUCUGGCAGGGAAACAGGCCACUCGGAAUUGCUAACUAGGCCUAAUUCAUUACAUCUCGGUGAAUGCAGUACUUUUGGUCUUACGCGUCUUUCAACUCCUGCAUUAAUAUAUUUACCCAGACCUCAUGGAAAAUGUAUGGGAAUGGAAACAGAAAUACUGUAUCCUUGUUUAAAUCACAUUUCAUUUUUUAAACAGCUCAAAUGAUUGCUCAGAAAGAUCACACCUUCUUCCGAAGCAUUUAUGAAACAAUUAUUUACAUUACAUUAAAAACUUUAAUUGCCUCAAAGCACGUGCUCUGAGACACAAAUAUUGGAAAAUCAUCAAAAAUAUCCAUCAUGAUUCUCUCUUCUUUAUAACUCUUCUAAACUUUAUCUUUUUUAUAACCCACUGUAUUGAUCUAUUGUCCCAGACCAAGAGUGAUGUCAGAAGUCUAGGCUGGGUCAUAAAAAGAAUAUAAUUUCCAUUUGCUGUCCAUAAAAGCAAAUCUUUUGAUCAGAGAAAAAGGAAAAACAUGUCCCCUUUUUUUGAGUGGGGAAGAGGGUGCGGUGCUAUGUAUCAGGGGAAUAAGCCAGAGAGGAAGGGUGACCUCACCUUUAAGGGUGGUGGCAGGGAUAGGCAAGGGGGUUGGUGAUGGAGGGGGCUGGGAGUAUGAGUUCCCCCUGGAGGUGACAUCUCACCUCCAGGGGAAGUGGAAACAGAGGACCUCGAGCUUGCACAGAGGCAAAAACAAACAAACAAACAAACAAACAAACAAACAAAAAAGCAGACAGAAAAAUGUAAAACAAGAAAUCCAGUCACCCCGGUUGUCAAGAGUCCGAAGAAUUGCAAAGGACCGGAACCUCCCUCUAGCCAUGCUGAAGACCCUCUCCCCAAAGACAAUCACAAUAAAGGAAUGUCAUGUUGCAAAGAACG
rnacentral:lncRNA from 1 species